AACAAAGUUAAAAACAAUAAAAAGAAAUGCAUAUUGGUAUGAUAAUUUCAUUUAUUAAAUUAAAAAUGCUCCUAUAAUUCAAUAACUUGAUAUUAAAAAAAUUUAAAAAUCACAAAAGAAAAAUGGUGUGGCAGUAGUAAUUAUGACAAUCCUAAAAUUGAAGUGUUUGGGGUUUGAAUUCUAUAUCUAUGUGCUUUUGACUCAUUUAAG
rnacentral:misc_RNA from 1 species